rnacentral:lncRNA from 1 species
CUUGUGGCCCAUGAUUGGACGUGGGACAGAGUAACAGGAUUGUUUCCACGUAUGUGGACAAUUAGGAUAGGGUUAGAGAAAUCCUUGUGAUUUGAGAUGGGCCUGGAGGGACAGGUACGAUAUUGACAGGCAGAGAUGGAAAGUGUGUGGGCAAAAGCUCCCCAGGGCCUGUGCAGCAGGAGUGGGAGGUGGCCUUCCCAGGAGGGUUUGGAACAUACUGGCAGCUACGGGAAGUGAGGUUGGAAAGGGAGUGGGAGCUGGAGGCCAGGCCAAUGCAGGGCCCAAGCAGUGGUCCAGACUCUGCGGCAGCUGCCCUGGGCACUUCCUCCACGCCCACCGAGUGGUUCCUAGGCAGGUGGGACUGACAAAGCCUCUGAGUCCUAGAAGUCAGUCCUAGAUACUUAGGAGGUCUAGAGCUCAUAACAGAUCCCCACCACUUAAGAGUGUGAAGCUCGGACUCUGGAUUUAGUGUAGGCAGCACACUGCAGACAGUCAGGACUUUUUUAGUUGUCAGAGUCCAGCUUUGAGCUCUAGGCCUUGUUUAGGGUGGGGAACAUGGGGUUUCCUAGUCCAAUGAGUCAGCGCUAUCCUCCCCCAGUUCCCUGAUGCAAACCGUGUGCACUGGAAGCUGCUGGGAUGAACCAGUGCAGGUCUUGUGCCACAGGACCUUCUUUGAUUCCGAGUUGGGGCUCCCAAGCCCCUUUUCCUUCGGAAAGGGACUAGUAAUUUCUGAUAUCCGGAGAAAACUAAUGUUUCCGCUGCAGUGGCGACACCUUGUGGUCAGAAAGGGGAAUGCACAGGACGGUCAUACGCUUCCCACCUUCCUCUGCUCCAGCUGUGGAGAGAUUCCCCUCAAGAGAACCUCCUGUCUCACCAAGACGCUAAUGUCACGUUGACAAGACCUAACGUUUCCGCAUCCCCCCAACCCCUACCCAAUCCUGUAGCUUGU